rnacentral:rRNA from 1 species
UACGAAGGGUGCAAGCGUUACUCGGAAUUACUGGGCGUAAAGCGUGCGUAGGCGGUUUGUUAAGUCCGUUGUGAAAGCCCUGGGCUCAACCUGGGAAUUGCAGUGGAUACUGGCGCGGCUGGAGCACUGUAGAGGCAGGCGGAAUUCCGGGUGUAGCGGUGGAAUGCGUAGAGAUCCGGAAGAACACCGGUGGCGAAGGCGGCCUGCUGGGCAGUGGGGGAGACCCCUUCAAGCUGACACUGAGGCGCGACAGCGUGGGGAGCAAACAGG